rnacentral:rRNA from 1 species
AUUGAACGCUGGCGGCAGGCCUAACACAUGCAAGUCGAACGAGUGGCGGACGGGUGAGUAAUGUCUGGGAAACUGCACGAUGGAGGGGGAUAACUACUGGAAACGGUAGCUAAUACCGCAUACCAUCGGAUGUGCCCAGAUGGGAUUAGCUAGUAGGUGGGGUAACGGCUCACCUAGGCGACGAGCCCUAGCUGGUCUGAGAGGAUGACGAGUAACACGGGAGCGGGGACACGGUCUAGACUCCUACGUGAGGCAGCAGUGGGGAUUAUGGGACAAGGGGCGCAAGCCGGAUGCAGGCAUGGGGCGUGUAUGAAGAAGGCCUUCGGGGUGUAAAGUACUUUCAGCGAGGAGGCGUUACUCGCAGAAGAAGCACCGGCUAACUCCGUGCCAGCAGCCGCGGUAAUUC